rnacentral:rRNA from 1 species
GUGAGGAAUAUUGGGCAAUGGGGGAAACCCUGACCCAGCGACGCCGCGUGAGGGAAGAAGGUCUUCGGAUUGUAAGCCUCUGUCUUCGGGGACGAUAAUGACGGUAACCGGGGAGGAAGCCACGGCUAACUACGUGCCAGCAGCCGCGGUAAAACGUAGUUGGCAAGCGUUGUCCGGAAUUACUGGGUGUAAAGGGAGCGCAGGUGGGGCUGUAAGUCGAAUGUGAAAUCUAUGGGCACAACUCAUAAAUUGCGUUCGAUACUAUAGUUCUUGAGUGGAGUAGAGGCAGGCGGAAUUCCCGGUGUAGCGGUGGAAUGCGUAGAUAUCGGGAGGAACACCAGUGGCGAAGGCGGCCUGCUGGGCUUUAACUGACACUGAGGCUCGAAAGCGUGAGUAGCAAACAGGAUUAGAAACCCGUGUAGUCC